UGCAAGUCGAGCGGCAGCACGGGGAGCUUGCUCCCUGGUGGCGAGCGGCGGACGGGUGAGUAAUGCAUAGGAAUCUGCCCGGUAGUGGGGGAUAACGUGGGGAAACCCACGCUAAUACCGCAUACGUCCUACGGGAGAAAGCGGAGGAUCUUCGGACUUCGCGCUAUCGGAUGAGCCUAUGUCGGAUUAGCUAGUUGGUAAGGUAACGGCUUACCAAGGCGACGAUCCGUAGCUGGUCUGAGAGGAUGAUCAGCCACACUGGGACUGAGACACGGCCCAGACUCCUACGGGAGGCAGCAGUGGGGAAUAUUGGACAAUGGGCGAAAGCCUGAUCCAGCCAUGCCGCGUGUGUGAAGAAGGCUUUCGGGUUGUAAAGCACUUUCAGCGAGGAAGAAAGCCUCUGGGUUAAUACCCURGAGGAACGACAUCACUCGCAGAAGAAGCACCGGCUAACUCCGUGCCAGCAGCCGCGGUAAUACGGAGGGUGCGAGCGUUAAUCGGAAUUACUGGGCGUAAAGCGCGCGUAGGUGGCUUGGCACGCCGGUUGUGAAAGCCCCGGGCUCAACCUGGGAACGGCAUCCGGAACGGCCAGGCUAGAGUGCAGGAGAGGAAGGUAGAAUUCCCGGUGUAGCGGUGAAAUGCGUAGAGAUCGGGAGGAAUACCAGUGGCGAAGGCGGCCUUCUGGCCUGACACUGACACUGAGGUGCGAAAGCGUGGGUAGCAAACAGGAUUAGAUACCCUG
rnacentral:rRNA from 2 species